CGUGUGUUACUGUGAGGCCUUUUUCUAUUAUACUUUUCUUCUCAAAUGGGCUUCAAAGUUGCAUUAUUGAGAAGCUGAAAGAUGAAUUUGGAGCUACUACUGAUAUAGGGUUUGGAUUUUGUGAUUUUGAUUGUGAGUUUGUUAAUGAAUUAGAAGAGGGUGGGGAUUGGGUAAGUGUAUUAGGGAGGUCUUUUGAAAAGGCAUGUCUUUUAGAAAUAAAGAUUGGUUCUUUUUCGUCUAGUAAUAAAGAUGGACAGAUAUUAGCAGACCAAUCUGGGAAUUUAGAGAAGGUGCACAUUAAGGAUGUUAGCUAUGAUGUAAAUUUGGGUGGUUCUUUUAUUGCUCGUGUGUCAGCAUUGAGGAGUUGGUCCCCUUCUGAUGUUAAAGAAGCUGAAUUGGUUAAUUUUGAUACGACGACGUAUGAUGUAAAUUUGGGCGGUUCUUUUAUUGCUCUUGUGUCAGCAUUGAGGAGUUGGUCCCCUUCUGAUGUUAAAGAAGCUGAAUUGGUUAAUUUUGAUAUGACGGCACUGGUUGCUAUAGCGUCCGGGAUUAGUAAUGGAG
rnacentral:lncRNA from 1 species